rnacentral:tRNA from 1 species
GAGGGUAUAGCUCAGUGGCAAAGUGCAUAACUAGCAUGCACAAAGUCCUGGGUUCAAUCCCCAGUGCCUCCA